UUUAAGGUGGCAGAAUAAUUGCAUCAACUUUAAGCGUUGAACAUAAAGACUUUUCUUUUCUUGUUG
rnacentral:tRNA from 1 species